GGUAUGGGAUGAGCUUGCGUCCGAUUAGCUAGUUGGCGGGGCAACGGCCCACCAAGGCGACGAUCGGUAGCCGGCCUGAGAGGGUGAUCGGCCACAUUGGGACUGAGAUACGGCCCAGACUCCUACGGGAGGCAGCAGUAGGGAAUAUUGCACAAUGGGGGGAACCCUGAUGCAGCAACGCCACGUGUGGGAAGAAGCAUUUCGGUGUGUAAACCACUGUCGUGAGGGAAUAAGGCCUGUUCUAGGACAGGAUUGAAUGUACCUCGAAAGGAAGCACCGGCAAACUUCGUGCCAGCAGCCGCGGUAGUACGAGGGGUGCAAGCGUUGUUCGGAAUCACUGGGCGUAAAGGGAGCGUAGGCGGAGAUUCAAGCGGAUUGUACAAUCCCGGGGCCCAACCCCGGACCUGCAGUCCGAACUGGAUCUCUUGGAUAGUUCAGGGGCAGGC
rnacentral:rRNA from 1 species